AGUGAACGCUGGCGGUAGGCCUAACACAUGCAAGUCGAACGACAGCACAGUAAGAGCUUGCUCUUACGGGUGGCGAGUGGCGGACGGGUGAGGAAUACAUCGGAAUCUACUUUUUCGUGGGGGAUAACGUAGGGAAACUUACGCUAAUACCGCAUACGACCUACGGGUGAAAGCAGGGGAUCUUCGGACCUUGCGCGAUUGAAUGAGCCGAUGUCGGAUUAGCUAGUUGGCGGGGUAAAGGCCCACCAAGGCGACGAUCCGUAGCUGGUCUGAGAGGAUGAUCAGCCACACUGGAACUGAGACACGGUCCAGACUCCUGCGGGAGGCAGCAGUGGGGAAUAUUGGACAAUGGGCGCAAGCCUGAUCCAGCCAUACCGCGUGGGUGAAGAAGGCCUUCGGGUUGUAAAGCCCUUUUGUUGGGAAAGAAAAGCAGCAGGUUAAUACCCCGCUGUUCUGACGGUACCCAAAGAAUAAGCACCGGCUAACUUCGUG
rnacentral:rRNA from 1 species